CUUACACAUCGUACAUAAUAAAUUCUGGUAUUCAUUAUGUUUGCGGAAUAAAAGUAUUUAAACUAUUUAUCUAUCAGUACGCAGCCCUGAUUGGACAAUUUGGAUAGAGUCAUUUAUUUUUUAAUCUAAAUAUUUUUUUAUUGAAAAUCAUUUAAAAUGCAACUUACGUGCACUUUUGGCAUUCAGUUUUAAAUAAAUCUACAACAUGUAUCUUUCUUAACAAACAGACAUCAUAAUCAGAAUAUCCCAAGGAAAGCCAUCGCCAAAAAAUAAAUACGAUCAACAAUCGUGGUGGUAAAAGAAGAACAAUGAAAGCUUCCGCUGUCACAUGACACCAAUUUAUUUUAGCAGUCCUAUAUGGUGUUUGGGAAAGAACGCUUCAAAACAGAUUAAAGAUAAUGAUUAUUUUAAAAUACACAUUUAGAAUUUGUUGGUUUUGUUUAAAUAAAUUUAUGACAUUAUCGGGAAAGAAUGCAUUCAUAAACGCUCGAUUAUCACUACUUGUUAUUUAUUUUGUUGAAUUGUAAAAUCAAGAAAAAAUAAAGAAAAAAAACC